UACGGAGGGUGCAAGCGUUAUCCGGAUUUUCUGGGUUUAAAGGGUGCGUAGGUGGGUCUGUAAGUCAGUGGUGAAAUCUCCGAGCUUAACUCGGAAACUGCCAUUGAUACUAUAGGUCUUGAAUUAUCUGGAGGUAAGCGGAAUAUGUCAUGUAGCGGUGAAAUGCUUAGAUAUGACAUAGAACACCAAUUGCGAAGGCAGCUUACUACGGAUUGAUUGACACUGAGGCACGAAAGCGUGGGGAUCAAACAGG
rnacentral:rRNA from 1 species